AUACUUGCUUCGGCAGUGCAUAUACUCAAAUUAGAACAAUGCAGAGAAGAUUAGCAUGAUCACUGCGCAAGGAUGACGAGCAAAAUCGCGAAUUUGUGUGGUGUGUG